ACCAUGCUAUUACUUGGGAAUGGUGGCGGGAGAUACCACAGUUGCGUGACAUUGAUGCGGGAUGACAACCACGCAUGUCCGCAAUCCGCGCUGACAGCUUAUGCAGUUUUGUCGGCUCUAAAGUGGGGAGCGAAAGUGAAUGGGAAGGUUUGAAGCCGACUAGCCAACUCAUCAUCCCCAAUAACUACCCACUACACCCAAGAUAACCAGGGGUUGACUUGCGAUACGGGCAUCUCUGCACAUAUGUCCAGUGUUGAGAUAAGAAACAAUGGAAAGGGAUCCUUUGAUCCGUUUCCCUUGAAUUUGUUUGAACUCAAAUGUCGAUCGUUACAAUGAAGAUACCCAGCCACUUCAUUUUCUCGGG
rnacentral:sRNA from 1 species